CCUACGGGUGGCAGCAGUGGGGAAUAUUGGGCAAUGGGCGCAAGCCUGACCCAGCAACGCCGCGUGAAGGAAGAAGGCUUUCGGGUUGUAAACUUCUUUUUUCAGGGACGUAGCAUGUGACGGUACCUGAGGAAUAAGCCACGGCUAACUACGUGCCUGCAGCCGCGGUAAUACGUAGGUGGCAAGCGUUAUCCGGAUUUACUGGGUGUAAAGGGCGCGUAGGCGGGGACGCAAGUCAGAUGUGAAAACCACGGGCUCAACCUGUGACCUGCAUUUGAAACUGUGUUUCUUGAGUACUGGUGAGGCAGACGGAAUUCGUGGUGUAGCGGUGAAAUGCGUAGAUAUUAGGAAGAACACCAAUGGCGAAGGCAGUUUACUAGACAGCAACUGACACUGAGGCGCGAAAGCGUGGGUAGCAAACAGGAUUAGAUACCCCAGUAGUC
rnacentral:rRNA from 1 species